GCGUUAUCCGGAAUCAUUGGGUUUAAAGGGUCCGCAGGCGGAUAGUAUAAGUCAGUGGUGAAAUCCUGCAGCUUAACUGCAGAACUGCCAUUGAUACUGUACAUCUUGAAUUCGGUCGAAGUGGGCGGAAUGUGUAGUGUAGCGGUGAAAUGCAUAGAUAUUACACAGAACACCGAUUGCGAAGGCAGCUCACUAGGCCUGGAUUGACGCUCAGGGACGAAAGCGUGGGGAUCAAACAGGAUUAGAUACCCUGGUAGUCCACGCUGUAAACGAUGAUUACUCGUUUUCGGCGAUAUACAGUCGGAGACUAAGCGAAAGUGAUAAGUAAUCCACCUGGGGAGUACGAUCGCAAGGUUGAAACUCAAAGGAAUUGACGG
rnacentral:rRNA from 1 species